UUAUCAGUGAGGACUCACGAUGCAGAAAAACCAAAAGAAAAGACAGUUUUGACCGGGACAUUUUAAAAAGACACAAAAAGUAAAAGUGACUUGGAUCCAAAGCUGUGAUUUCCAUUUGGCUGUGUUUAGUUUUGACCUUUGACCCAGAGAAACAGUUUUAGCCACGGCUCUGGAUCCAAGUAGAUGAGAGACGACGAGUCUUUCAGUUCAAACUGUGCUGCGUUCACUGACUGUACGGACUUUAUGUACGUAUGCAUGUUUUGUGCGCGUGUGUAAUAAUUAACAUAAUAACGUUAAGGUUACCACCAACACCAUCUAGUCUUUCAGAGAACCUUUAAAAAAGUCUUGACUGAAUCCAUUUUUAAGGUGGUUCUGAUUUGACAAAGAGCUGAAAAUAUUUCAUUCAGAUAAAAACACAAAAGAAAACACACAGCAAUGCAAUUUAGAUUUAGAGUUUAUAUCCAACUAAAACAAGGUGGCGUUUCCAUGACGACCAACACCACAAAGAACACAUUCAUGCAAAAACAUAUACUGAACACACACUCGACACACAUGCAAACACACCAUUUAAAGUUGUGUUUAUUUUUACCACGUUAGCUCUGAGCCCACACACGUUGCCAUGCUAACAAAGAAGCUAACGUCAGCGCAACAUGCUCCAGUACAUUGAACUAUUGUUGGAGGGAGUAACGUGGUGAACACGGACUACAGCAGCACCGUGGUGAGCCCAUGUGUGUUAGUGUACGUUAGAGAGUGGC